rnacentral:rRNA from 1 species
GGCUUACCAUGCAGGUCGAGGGGCAGCAUUUCAGUUUGCUUGCAAACUGGAGAUGGCGACCGGCGCACGGGUGAGUAACACGUAUCCAACCUGCCGAUAACUCGGGGAUAGCCUUUCGAAAGAAAGAUUAAUACCCGAUGGNAUAAUCAGACCGCAUGGUCUUAUUAUUAAAGAAUUUCGGUUAUCGAUGGGGAUGCGUUCCAUUAGGCAGUUGGUGAGGUAACGGCUCACCAAACCUUCGAUGGAUAGGGGUUCUGAGAGGAAGGUCCCCCACAUUGGAACUGAGACACGGUCCAAACUCCUACGGGAGGCAGCAGUGAGGAAUAUUGGUCAAUGGGCGCAGGCCUGAACCAGCCAAGUAGCGUGAAGGAUGACUGCCCUAUGGGUUGUAAACUUCUUUUAUAUGGGAAUAAAGUUUUCCACGUGUGGAAUUUUGUAUGUACCAUAUGAAUAAAGGAUCGGCUAACUCCGUGCCAGCAGCCGCGGUAAUACGGAGGAUCCCGAGCGUUAUCCGGAUUUAUUGGGUUUAAAGGGAGCGUAGGUGGACAGUUAAGUCAGUUGUGAAAGUUUGCGGCUCAACCGUAAAAUUGCAGUUGAUACUGGCUGUCUUGAGUACAGUAGAGGUGGGCGGAAUUCGUGGUGUAGCGGUGAAAUGCUUAGAUAUCACGAAGAACUCCGAUUGCGAAGGCAGCUCACUGGACUGCAACUGACACUGAUGCUCGAAAGUGUGGGUAUCAAACAGGAUUAGAUACCCUGGUAGUCCACACAGUAAACGAUGAAUACUCGCUGUUUGCGAUAUACAGUAAGCGGCCAAGCGAAAGCAUUAAGUAUUCCACCUGGGGAGUACGCCGGCAACGGUGAAACUCAAAGGAAUUGACGGGGGCCCGCACAAGCGGAGGAACAUGUGGUUUAAUUCGAUGAUACGCGAGGAACCUUACCCGGGCUUAAAUUGCAUUUGAAUAAUCUGGAAACAGGUUAGCCGCAAGGCAAAUGUGAAGGUGCUGCAUGGUUGUCGUCAGCUCGUGCCGUGAGGUGUCGGCUUAAGUGCCAUAACGAGCGCAACCCUUAUCUUUAGUUACUAACAGGUCAUGCUGAGGACUCUAGAGAGACUGCCGUCGUAAGAUGUGAGGAAGGUGGGGAUGACGUCAAAUCAGCACGGCCCUUACGUCCGGGGCUACACACGUGUUACAAUGGGGGGUACAGAAGGCAGCUACCUGGUGACAGGAUGCUAAUCCCAAAAGCCUCUCUCAGUUCGGAUCGAAGUCUGCAACCCGACUUCGUGAAGCUGGAUUCGCUAGUAAUCGCGCAUCAGCCAUGGCGCGGUGAAUACGUUCCCGGGCCUUGUACACACCGCCCGUCAAGCCAUGAAAGCCGGGGGUACCUGAAGUACGAACCGCAAGGAGCUCCUAGGAAAC